GCUCAUGCGAGUGUUUGGGUGUUAAACUCGCAACGCGAAAUGAAAGUGAACGUAGAUUGGACCCGUUUGGUGCACAAUCGACCGAUCCUGAUGUUCUCGGAUGGAUUUGAGUAAGAGCAUGAGUGAUGGGACCCGAUAGAUGGUGAACUAUACCUGGUCAGGGUGAAGCCAGAGGAAACUCUGGUGGAAGCUCGCCGCAGUCCUGACGUGCAAAUCGGUUGUCAAAGCUGGGUAUAGGGGCGAAAGACUAAUCGAACCAUCUAGUAGCUGGUUCCUGCCGAAGUUUCCCUCAGGAUAGCUGUAGCUCGUAUCAGUUUUAUGAGGUAAAGAAAUGAUUAGAGGUAUUGGGAUUGAAACGAUCUUGACCUAUUCUCAAACUUUGAAUAUGUAAAAAGCCCCCCUUGCUUAAUUGAAGGCGGGCCCUUGAAUGAAGAGCUAUAAGUGGGCCAUUUUUGGUAAGCAGAACUGGCGAUGCGGGAUGAACCGAACGCGGAGUUAAGGUGCCGGAGUGUACGCUCAUCAGACACCAGAAAAGGUGUUAGUCCAUCUAGACAGCCGGACGGUGGCCAUGGAAGUCGGAAUCCGCUAAGGAGUGUGUAACAACUCACCGGCCGAAUGAACUAGCCCUGAAAAUGGAUGGCGCUCAAGCGUACCACCUACACUCCGCCACUAGUCUUAUUAUAUGGGCUAGUGAGUAGGCAGGCGUGGAGGUUGUGUCGAAGCGUUGGGCGUGAGCCUGCGUGGAACGGCCUCUAGUGCAGAUCUUGGUGGCAGUAGCAAAGAUUCAAAUGAGAACUUUGAAGACUGAAGUGGAGAAAGGUUCCGCUGGAACAGCAGUUGGCAGCGGGUUAGUCGAUCCUAAGCGACAAGGUAGCUCUGUCUAAUCUCCCGAUUUUUCGGGAGCAUCGCGAAAGGGAAGCCGGUUAACAUUCCGGCACUUGGAUAUGGAGUUUUCCACGGCAACGUAAAUGAGUGUGGCGACGCCGGCACAAGCCCUGGGAGGAGUUUUCUUUUCUUUUUAACGGUAAGCCGACCCUGGAAUUGGUUUAGCCAGCGGUAGGGUUUGUUUACCGGAAGAGCCCGACAUCUUUCGUCGGGUCCGGUGCGCUUGUGACGGUCCUUGAAAAGCCGCAUGAAGUUUUUGCUUUCAUACCAAGUCGUACUCAUAACCGCAGCAGGUCUCCAAGGUUAACAGCCUCUAGUUGAGUAGGAGAACGUGGAUAAGGGAAUUCGGCAAACUAGAUCCGUAACUUCGGGAUAAGGAUUGGCUCAAAGGGCUGAGCAGGUCGGGUCCUUGCGAGACACGGGGUGGAGGCGGACUGGACUGCGCUGGGUUCGCGCCUAGUGUGGACCGGACUGCCACCGCCCUGCCGAUCGCUUGGAUAGCCAUUCGGCGUCCGUCUGUUAUGAACAGCUAACUUUGAACUGGUACGGACAAGGAAAAUCUGACUGUCUAAUUAAAACAUAGCAUUGCGAUGGUCCGAAAGUGAUGUUGACGCAAUGUGAUUUCUGCCCAGUGCUCUGAAUGUCAAAGUGAAGAGAUUCAACCAAGCGCGGGUAAACGGCGGGAGUAACUAUGACUCUCUUAAGGUAGCCAAAUGCCUCGUCUAUUAAUUGUAGACGCGCAUGAAUGGAAGAACGUGAUUUUCGCUGUCCCUAUCC
rnacentral:rRNA from 1 species